UCUGUUUGGAUCACAUCGAGC
rnacentral:miRNA from 1 species